ACCGCGGUAGCCUAGUGGUCAUGGUAGCGGACUCGCAUUCCGUAGUCUAUGGUCAUGGUUUCGAAUUCGUGCUGGCGGUU